rfam:Danio rerio chromosome 5, GRCz11 reference primary assembly.
UCCUCGUUAGUAUAGUGGACAGUAUCUCCGCCUGUCACGCGUAAGACCGGGGUUCGAUUUACCGACGGGGGG